CGGUUUUGAUAACGGAGGAGUGCGCCGAGGAGCUGUUGGCUUUUACAGCAGCCACGCCAUCGCUACGCGGGUUCGCUCGCGCCAGUCGCUACGGAUUGGCAUGUGUAGCGCGGAGGCGGACAUAAGCGCGUGUGCGCUCUGUGCGGACUCGAAAGCGGCGCCCAACAUCUGCGACGCCCUCGCGCACCAGGACGGAAAGGCAGAAUAACACCUGUUGUCGCCGCAUCAGGCGCACCGAGGUGCCGCUGGACACCCGCUUGCGGCGGCCAUGUCCGUCGAGCAAGGAGUCCGCGGCGGGUCGAUCAACAGCGACCUCCGGUGGGACUACGAGAGCGGAGACGCCGAUGAACCGCUCAUUCGAGGCAGCGAAAGCGGCGACGCUAUGCGUCUUUCGCCGUGGGCGCACAUCAGGAAGCACGCCUGGAUCGUGCCGGUUAUUUACACGCACCUCUGGGCGGCCGCCGUCAUCUCGCUCGUGGCGCCUUUCUUUCCGCCACUCGCCGAUUCCAGAGGCAUACCAGCAUGGAAAUAUGGCUUUUUCUUCUCAACAAUGAAACUCAUGAUGCUUCCAGGAGCUGUGAUAGCCGAAAAGUUGAUCUCGGGUGUCUCCGCCAGGGCUGGCUACCUAGGUGGACAAGUAGCCACUGCACUAUUCUCUGUCACAUGCGGUUUUCUCUACUGGAUAAAGAGCGGAAACGUACUUCUGGGCACAUCGUUGCUCAUGGCAGCGUUCGGCGGCUGCUGCAACACAGUCUACAGCGUUUGCCUGUACACUUUACUUACGUCAAGAUUUAAAGACGACGGCGGUAUGCUAAUCGGCCUGAUGGAGUGCCUGUGGGGAGCAGGCACGUUGAUGGGAUCAUCCAUAGGCGGGUCUCUCAUUGACCUUUGGGCAUUUCCUCUCCCUUUCUUCGUCAUUGGCGGCGUCCUACUUCUGUCAUUACCCUUCAUGGCACUAAUAAAUCCUAGGAGUUCCAAGCAUGAGUGCCCAACGAACGACAUCGUGCCUCAACAAGAAUGUGUGGAGAAGAAGUACUGGACCCUCAUUUAUGAUCUCAUAUUUAUAGUCAAUCUUGGCACUGUUACAAUAAGUUGGGCUAUGACCAGCUUUAACGAACCAACAUUGGAACCGUUCUUGCGUCAGUUUAACAUGUCAAGCACACAAGUGGGAACGGUAUUCACAGUCCAAUUUGUUGGAUAUUCUAUCGGCGCCUUACUUGGAGGCCUUUUUGCGAAGUUCAAGAUGGAACCAUUCCUGAACUUUUUUGGAAUGCUGCUGUCAACGAUAGGGUACAUCAUACUUGGCCCGAUACCUAUCAUACCAAUUCUGCCAUAUUCAUCGGCCUCGGCAUGGCAGUCACAUAUGUCAGCCCCUACAUGCAUGCUCUCAGACACACUGUUGAGAACGCUGGUUACCCCGACACUGAGAAAACUCACGGUGUAGUGACAAGUGCGACUUACCAAUUCAUGGUUUUUGGUGCCGUGAUAACAUCUCCCGUAGCGGGAUUUGUGACCCAGAAGCUUGGCUUUCCAUUUUCCUCCAUGAUUUUCGCCGGUUUCCUGGCUUUUUGGACCAUCGUGACGGGUGUUGUGUGGUUGCACCUAGAUUACUCACUUUGCGGCAAGAAGCGACCACCGGAGUGUCAAAAGCCUUCUACGACAGACGAGGAGGACAAUGUGCAGGCAGAGCUCUGCUCUUCGUGACGUUGCAGAAAAGUGCAUCUGACAUUCACGCUUGCUCUACAAGCAGCAGUGCUCGUGUUGUGUACAUAAGAAAAACUGGACCCAUGGAACGUCAUGAGUGGUUUCAGAAGGCAGCGACGGCGUUGUGCGUAACAUGUGCUGAAGGGAACGUGAAUAAGCGUUUCUAGUACUAGCAAUUGAGUGAAAUGUUUUAACGCGACGCUGUUUAAAAGCUAAUUGAGCAUAUACUCUGGUAUUGUCGUGGGCGUCACUGGUUGCGAGCGAAAAAUUGCGGAGAUGGCAAAUAAGAUUCAUCGGUUCGAGCCGGAACUGAUUCAAGCAUUUUGCGUGGCAAGCAGGUAUUCGAACACA
rnacentral:misc_RNA from 1 species